CGCUUCCUCCUCCACCUCCACCACCUCCUCCUCCUCCACCUCCUGUGCCAGCUCCUCUGUGAACGUACCCGCCUUUACCUGAGGAGUGAGGACCCAACACCUGAGCAUUAGUGAGGACCCAAGGCAGAUAGGCAAAAGUCCUUGAAGAGACAACAUGGGGGAAGAAUAAGCAAGGCGGGGAUGGCUCUCGCGGCAGCCCACUUACCAGAGGACACAACUGGUGACAUUGCCCCAGAGUCCGGUAGUGGAUCUAGGGAGGUCUGGCGAACAUCACCAAAAGUGGUAGAAUCAACCACAUAAUCUGGGGUGAUCUCAAAAGGUGUGCGACUAUACCGCUGUAGGUGUGACGACAGCAUUCCGUGUCCUCCGAGGGGCGCCGAGGACAGGCGCACAGGAGGACGUGGCCCAAGCGACACAACCAAAGGAAGUGCCGUGCAACGCCCCACACCCCC